UGGCCCAUAGCUGGGAAUCUCUCCAAACCCUUCUUUUAUAGUGGUCAAGAGAGACAAAGUGAUGUCACCAAAGUCAACCAACUUCUUCCUUUCUUCUAGGAUGGCUUGAUCAGGAGGCUCUUCAGGUGUGGCUGCCAGCAGUACCAAACUUUUCCUUACAACUUAGCAACUCUAUUCCAGCAAAGUCCCAGGCUAGUCACAUGCCAUGCUAAUUUCUGAAUCUGUCACCAUGCCUCUGGCCAAGUCUGGCUUCUGUCGAGCUCUGAAGCCAGAACGUGAAAUUGGCCCCAUGAAACCACAUGGCCCGAAGGAUUUAUAGAAAUCUAUAUGAAUGAAUCCAUUUCAAUGUCUGGUCUGCAAGAGUACGAAGACUUGACUUCACAUACUACUUGAUGGGAUGGUUUAAUCCUGGGUUAGAGUGCUGACUGGCUAGAGGGAGUUUUCCCCCAUCAGCCCUGUAUGCACUGGACCUCCAAGACAACAAUGAAAUUAAAGACAAUUUAAUGGUUUGGGUAAUAGAUACAAAUAAAACCUUAAAUUUUGUAAUCUUAAA